CUCCACCCAUCCAGAAUCUCAGGCCACUGCUUCAUCCUCACCCUCCACCCAUCCAGAAUCUCAGGCUACUGCUUCAUCCUCACCCUCCACCCAUCCAGAAUCUCACUACUGCUUCAUCCUCACCCUCCAGCCAUCCAGAGUCUCAGGCUACUGCUUCAUCCUCACCCUCCAUCCAUCAAGCAUCUCACCCCACUGCUUCUUCCACACCUUCUGACAGAGCCAGCUGGUCAAUGGAACUUUUGUUUGAAAGUUCUGUUCGAUGAGCAGUUUAUUUUUUUAUAUUAUUUAUAUAUUUUAUAUUAGUUAAUAUUUUUAUAUAACUACAGCUACUAUUACAUAGUAAUAUUUUUUAACAGUGGAGACUGGAGCCUGAUUUACAGUCUGCUACAAAAAUGUACUGGGACUUAAUGUUGCAGAAUGCAGAAGACAAGCCUAAUUUGCUGAUAACUUUAGAUAUGCACAGCACUGAGACAGCGAUGCUCUUCUAUAAGCAGACCAAUGUUGAUUGGACUUGUCCAUUUGAAGUGCGCUUGAAGGCAGAUCGGGGAUGGGGUUAAACGUCACUUCUUUUCUUUGCUGUUGGAUAAGAUCCACACUGGACUACACCUGGACCUUGACACGUGGUGGAAAAACCAUAUUUUUCAUCGGCGAAGCAGACCACUACAUCCAGAACAUUGCUAGAUGGUGACCUUUUCAGGGUGGUGGGGAGAGUUAUUGGCCAUUCUUUCAUCAAUGGGGGCCAAUGCUGACUGGUCUCAGUCAGUCUCUCUUCCUACUGCUUUGUGGAUCCAAUGAUGACACCUCAGUCCAGGAGUUGAAAGACUGUCCUGACCUUGAUGUUAUGUACAUUGUUGCUCUUGUAAGUGCAAACGUAGAAUAAAUUUAUAGAUAUUUCAUACUCAGUCAACAGAAUUCAACACAGUUUGUAUAGUUAUAUCAGCAUUUGCUUAGAUAGCUUGUCUAUAAAUGCAUAUGUAUUUAAAUCAAUUUAAUGCAACCUUGUUUAAUGUCUUUUAGGCAUGAUCAGUUUUUUUAUAUGUUUACUUUGCUUUCAUAGCUUGAAAACAACAAAGACUUAGCUUCGUCUUGCUCAGCAAUUGUUAACAACUUGGCUAUCAUUGGGACCUGCCCAUGAUGACUGUGGCCAACAGAUGGUGGUUGGCUGAAAAAAUUCUCCAUCAUGGUGCAUGUUAUUGACAAGUAUGUGCGCUCGUUCAGUUGCUUGGAAUGUGCAGCUAAAUAAUAUCCAUAUCUCGUGCCAUCUUUUUUGUACUAGGUGUUGCCGUCGUGAAAGGUAGGUGGCACAGAUAAGAAUUGGGUUGAAAGACACUGGGGUCCUAAGGAUGUUAAAGAAACAGCCUGAUUUGGUAACAAUACUGUUCCCCAGAUGUGCAGCAGCUAUACUAGAACCAGAGGAGUUGUUCACUCGCGCACAAUGAUUGUUUUACGUUUGUUAAUGAUAUUAAUAGUAACCAUUUUUAUAACUAAAUGCUUAGAAUUACAAUGUGGUACCAAAAAUUAACAAGACCUGUUUUACAAAUAUGUGGUAAUGUUAGAUGAUCUUCUAUCAGCUGAUCCUUCAAAGGAUAAUUUGGCCAGAACCAGAAAGUGAUGAGGAAGACAACAUUGACGAAAUAUGCAAAGCCACUGCAUUCUUACGGGAAUACAUUGACACAGGUGAUAAAUGCAAAAUAGCAGUUGCAAAUGACUUAUAUACACUCACCUAAAGGAUUAUUAG